UACGGGGGGUGCGAGCGUUGUCCGGAAUCACUGGGCGUAAAGGGCGCGUAGGUGGUUUGAUAAGGGUGUGGUGAAAGCCCGGGGCUCAACCCCGGGUCUGCCGUGCCGACUGUCAAACUCGAGGGCUGUAGAGGCAGACGGAAUUCCGGGUGUAGCGGUGGAAUGCGUAGAGAUCGGAAGGAACAUCAGUGGCGAAGGCGACUGUCUGGACAGAUACUGACGCUGAGGCGCGAAAGCGUGGGGAGCAAACAGG
rnacentral:rRNA from 1 species